UUGCCUUUUAUAGUUUAAGAAAUAGCACCUCACUUAACACAAACUCGAUGAAACACAAGUCAAGCAGAUUUACGAACUAUUUUCCAUACUCAGUGGUGGAUCCAUAAAUUUUGAUCAAAAAGCGGGUGAAAAGGGGUGCAUAUUGCAUGACUAUUUGCCUUCUUCAAGGAGUAGAUCAGUUAAAAUUUCCAGACAAAUCCCAAGACUACUAUAUUUGAUCUGUGUUAAUAUAAUAAAAAUGAAGUUAAAGUCUGUUUGAUUUAUUCAUAGAUUAGGGAUACAACAAGUCUGCAAGUCACUAGAUAUAAAUGGACAGAGAAAAUUAUUGAGGAGAUCAUUGGGGGGACAAACUAAACAAAGGAAAUGUACUUUACUUUAACAUGUUUAAGGAGGAGAAGUGAAAGAAGCAGGGAAAAUUGGCGGGUGUAACAUCUAUUAGCAAUAAAAAGAGGAGAUAAAGCAGUUAAUCAUUAUGACUGUGAAAAGAAGAUUUUAUCUGAAUAUGAAAAGAGUUUAUUUCAGUUAAAAAGACUUGCUACAAAAUGUUCCUCUUGUAAUUUUAUUGAAGACCAGACCAUUGUCAACUUUAAGUAAAGGAAGAUAAUAAAACAUUGAAGAGGAAAUGAAGGAAAAGACUUAAUCAUCAAAGAGCAUAACAAAGCAUAAU